UACGUAGGCAGCAAGCGUUGUUCGGAGUUACUGGGCGUAAAGAGUGUGUAGGCGGUUCCCUAAGUUCGAUGUGAAAUCCCUCGGCUUAACCGGGGAACUGCGUCUGAUACUGGAUGGCUUGAGUUUGGGAGAGGGAUGCGGAAUUCCAGGUGUAGCGGUGAAAUGCGUAGAUAUCUGGAGGAACACCGGUGGCGAAGGCGGCAUCCUGGACCAACACUGACACUGAGGAGCGAAAGCCAGGGGAGCAAACGGG
rnacentral:rRNA from 1 species